rnacentral:rRNA from 1 species
AAUCAACGCUGGCGGCGUGCCUCAGACAUGCAAGUCGAACGAUUAAAGCUCUCUUCGGAGAGUGUAUAGAGUGGCGCACGGGUGAGUAACACGUAAGUAAUCUACCUUUGAGUGGGGAAUAACCCGGGGAAACCCGAGCUAAUACCGCAUAAUGCAGCGGCACCGCAAGGUGACAGUUGUUAAAGGAGCAAUCCGCUUAAAGAGGAGCUUGCGGCAGAUUAGCUAGNGGUAAGGUAAUGGCUUACCAAGGCUUCGAUCUGUAUCCGGCCUGAGAGGGCGGUCGGACACACUGACACUGAAUAACGGGUCAGACUCCUACGGGAGCAGCAGUCGGGAAUUUUGGGCAAUGGGCGAAAGACCUGACCCAGCGACGCCGCGUGAAGGAUGAAGUAUUUCGGUAUGUAAACUUCGAAAGAAUGGGAAGAAUCAAUGACGGUACCAUUUAUAAGGUCCGGCUAACUACGUGCCACGCCG